GCCUACGGGGGGCAGCAGUGGGGAAUAUUGCACAAUGGGGGAAACCCUGAUGCAGCAACGCCGCGUGAGUGAAGAAGUCAUUCGUGAUGUAAAGCUCUAUCAGCAGGGAAGAAAAUGACGGUACCUGACUAAGAAGCCCCGGCUAACUACGUGCCAGCAGCCGCGGCAAUACGUAGGGGGCAAGCGUUAUCCGGAUUUACUGGGUGUAAAGGGAGCGUAGACGGCGAUGCAAGUCUGAAGUGAAAGGCGGGGGCCCAACCCCCGGACUGCUUUGGAAACUGUAUGGCUGGAGUGCAGGAGAGGUA
rnacentral:rRNA from 1 species